rnacentral:misc_RNA from 1 species
AAGUCGUAACAAGGUUUCCGUAGGUGAACCUGCGGAAGGAUCAUUAAUGAAAUUAUAAUCCGGCGAGGGAAAGGCGGAGAGCUGUAGCUGGCCCCCUGGGGGCAUGUGCACGCUCUCUUCCGGACUUUUCGCCGUAUGGGCGCGGGGCGACCCGCGUCUUCAUAUACCUCUUCGUGUAGAAAGUCUUUGAAUGUUAUCAUCAUCAUCGAGUCGCGACUUCUAGGAGACGCGAUUCUUUGAGACAAAAGUUAUUACAACUUUCAGCAACGGAUCUCUUGGCUCUC